AGAGCGAACGCUGGCGGCAGGCCUAAUACAUGCAAGUCGAACGGAUCCUUCGGGAUUAGUGGCGGACGGGUGAGUAACACGUGGGAACGUGCCCUUUGGUUCGGAACAACUCAGGGAAACUUGAGCUAAUACCGGAUGUGCCCUUCGGGGGAAAGAUUUAUCGCCAUUGGAGCGGCCCGCGUCUGAUUAGCUAGUUGGUGAGGUAAAGGCUCACCAAGGCUUCGAUCAGUAGCUGGUCUGAGAGGAUGAUCAGCCACACUGGGACUGAGACACGGCCCAGACUCCUACGGGAGGCAGCAGUAGGGAAUCUUGCGCAAUGGGCGAAAGCCUGACGCAGCCAUGCCGCGUGAAUGAUGAAGGUCUUAGGAUUGUAAAAUUCUUUCAGCGGGGACGAUAAUGACGGUACCCGCAGAAGAAGCCCCGGCUAACUUCGUGCCAGCAGCCGC
rnacentral:rRNA from 1 species